rnacentral:lncRNA from 1 species
GUUGGAGGCCAAUCUCUCCUUCUACAAACUGGAUGACCUGCUGAUUGUAGAGACCUCCAGCGUGCGUGUGAUCUACAGCUUGACGGGGGAGGUGACUGUCACAGUGGGGGCCUGGUUGGCCAAUGAAUUGUGCGGCGCUUGUGGCCACCUCGGUGGCAGCGGUCUGGACCUGACCACUGUCAAUGGUGACCCAUGGAGGGCCAGAGAUUUCCCAAACUGUGACCUCGUAGAACCCUGAAACAGCUUUCCCUGGAGCUUCUGUAUUUGUAUGCUCUCAUAUGGGAUCAAUAAAGUAUCAUCUUGAUUUAUGCCUCUUUAUUACAUGAAGUGAAACAUGCACUACUGUACUCCUGUAAAUUUGGGUCUUCUGUUUUAUGAAACUGGGGAAAUCAAAGGGAAUUAAAUUUUACAUGGAAGUAAUCAGUCUGUAGUGUUGACAUCUGUAGUCCUUCACAAUAUGCAGCUACCAUUUUAGCUUCUGUUUUCUCAAUCUUCAAGCAAAUUGACAGUGUGCUCUAACACUAUUGUUGCUUUCUAAAGC